UACAGAGGAGCCAAGCGUUGUCCGGAUUGACUGGGCGUAAAGCGCACGCAGGCGGUUGCGCGCGUGGGGUGUGAAAUCUGGGCGCUUAACGGCCAGGCGCCAUCCCAUACGGCGCGACUGGAGUGAUGCAGAGGUCGAUGGAAUUGCCGGUGUAGUGGUGAAAUGCGUAGAGAUCGGCAGGAACACCCAGGGGGAAACCAGUCGACUGGGCAUCUACUGACGCUGAGGUGCGAGAGCGUGGGGAGCGAACCGG
rnacentral:rRNA from 1 species